GGUUUUUUGAUCAACAGAGACAGAGACAGAGAGAAGAAAGCAGAGGAGCUGGGUAGAAGAAGAAGAGUUUACGAAUUGCAUUUUCAGAGCACUUUUGCCCGUUCUCCUAUCAGGUAUUUCAGUCUGUUGCCCUGGCCACCUGUUCAUCUGCCGAGCCAAUUCGGUUUCUCGCGCAUCUUCCUCAGAGCCAUUUCUCAGCUGUCUUUUGCCCAAAUGAUACCGUCGGUUUGUUUGCUCGACAGAGAGAGAAAAGAGCGAAGAAUCAAAUUGAAACCUGAGCACAAUCUUUUCAUUUUUAAAAUCGCAACUGAGGCGAGUAGAAGAAAGAAGAACAAGAAUAAAGGAGCUUGAAAUUUUUCACUGAUUGAUAAGGAAGAAGAGGCUUUGAGGAAUCCGGCUUCUUGAAUGAGGUGGCAGGGGUGGUUAGUACCGUUAAGUAAUUAGGAGUUGCUCUUUUCGUUUGCAUAGCUUCCAGCUCCCGCAACGAUGAUACCCCCAAUACUAAGCAUUGGGAGAAAGCCUUUGACGGUCUUGCUCCAAGUGAAUACGAGUGGAGAAUAAUGUUUUGAACAAAUAUACCUUAUAAGGAAACUAAUCCUUGGAGAACCAUUCAUGGUUUGUAUAUUUAGGCGAACACCGUUUGCUGCAGCCAAAUCAAGAAGCUUCUGGUGCUGCUUCUAUGGCUUGGACGACGGCUCACCCGCUUGAGGAGUUCUUUGAAGCAGAUAGGCAGACUGAUGACGAAAUGCCAUGUUUGUAUAUGGUGGAAGUUGGAAGGCAUUUGAAGAUUCUGAACUGCCUCUGAAGUCUUGGGAUAAUCUCAAUAAGCUAGGGUUUCUUCUGCUUAAAGAGACAAACAUGCUGAUGACUUAAUGCUGGAUGCUUCAGUCACCAAGAGGAUUUCCUAAUCCUGAGCGCCUUCCCAAAGUAUGACCCAUGCUUGGAAGUUCUUUAAAAUUUCCUUUACAUGAAAAGUGGUUUCCUUUGUUCGCAGAGCCUCUAAACUUCAUCACGGGUGCUUUCUGAUGUACAUAACAGUCUCCUGAUAAACAAUGCUUCAUUGAUUCAUUAUAAGACGUAUGGUGGCCAGAAGAACUAGAGAGAAAAGGUGUUUUGUUUUCCGUUCUUCCAAGAUCAUUUGGAUAAUUUUUAUUCUUCAAAAUGACAGACAAGCUUCUUCUUGGUCUUUAGGGAUGCUGGGACUCCAAAUAUUGGUAGACUAAAAGUUAGUCAGUUCAGCUAUGCUACUACUAACACUAUGUGAGAUCAAUAUAACACUACGAAAUCCUAUUUUCCAGACCAAGUUAGUGUCAA